rnacentral:rRNA from 1 species
UACGUAGGGGGGCAAGCGUUGUCCGGAUUUAUUGGGCGUAAAGAGCGUGUAGGCGGCCAUACAGGUCCGUUGUGAAAACUGGAGGCUUAACCUCCAGACGUCGAUGGAAACCGUAUGGCUAGAGUCCGGAAGAGGAGAGUGGAAUUCCUGGUGUAGCGGUGAAAUGCGCAGAUAUCAGGAAGAACACCUAUGGCGAAGGCAGCACUCUGGGACGGUACUGACGCUGAGACGCGAAAAGCGUGGGGAGCGAACAGG